GAGGUUUUUUUCUUCUUUCCUUUUUUCUUACAGAACCUGAGAAAAUGGACAGCACUGUUGGGGGCUUGUGAGUUCCUGUCACAGUACUGAGCUUGAACAAUUUCGAUUAAAGCCCCAUGUUUGAGACUGUCAUUAGACCUGCAUUAAAUUACAUAUCUGGAGUGUUAAAAAAUAAAGAGUACAGUAGCUUUUUCUCAGCUACCUAAGGUGAGUGAAACUGCAAGUUGAGGCCCUGUCCACAUAUAAAUACUGGAAGAGCUGAAAUCCAGGGAGACUGCUGAAAAAAAAAAUUGACAACAACAACAAAAGACUUUAUUUUUUAUUGCACAAGGCCCACAUAUGACUUUGAAUAUUUUUUAGUCUGUUGUUUGGUGACGCCUAAGAAGAGUCCUGCUGCCAAUGUUCCUCACCUUGCCUCCCGUGGAAAGGGAAUGAUGUGCACAGACUCUUGUUAUGCAAAGGGAAAAAACAAGGGACAAUAUGUUGCUGCUGAUGCAGGUGAUGAUGAUACAACCCAGCAGAAGAUGAACUUCUUCCUGAAGAUGGAGCGACUACUCCUGGUCUGUGAUAAGGGAACCCCUGUUUGGGGCUGCCAUGUCUCUCCCAAACUUUUGUUAUCAGUGGAGCUUAGAAUGUAGACCAUCUGUCACAGAGGAAUAUAAUGACAUCAACUUGUCCUCCAGUGCCACUGUAACACAUUUUGAGAGAAGUUCGCGUAUUUGCUGAGAACAUGUUCAGGGAUCCUCUUUCAGCUGCCCCUGCUUGAUUGCUCCCAGAAUGCACUGCUGAUGCCUCUACGGCAGGAAGUUUUCACCAGACAGCAUUUUCAAAUACGGGGGACAACAGAAUGACAACCCAGGAAAAGAGAAACAAAGAACUGAAUGAAAGGAACCUGCCCAUCUCACAGACACUCCGCCAUCUGAAGCGUCCCUGAAGUAUGGCUAGCUCUCCAGCUGGGCACUCCCAUCUCAGAGAAUGGGACCUACACUUCUCCUGAGAGAUGAGCCCAACGCCUAAUGGAUCUCAAUGUCAGAAAGACUUCCGCGAUACCCAUCUCACAUCCUCCUCUCCUGAAUUUCUUCACAUUACUCUCAGAGCGCAGCUUCGAGGAAAGGAGAAUGGCCUCUCCAAAGGAAACCAGCAACCAACACUGAAAGGUCUCUGCCGGCUCUCUGAGGGUUACCAGGAAGCCCGAGACCUGGGGACUCCUCUCAAGCAGUAUCAUCUUGUUAGAAAAUUACUCAGAGAUUAAGGAGUACACGCGUCGUGAUGAGCACCGAGUGACGUAUGGAAGUGUGGAAUCACUAUAUUGUACACCCGCAACUAUUGUAACACUACAUGUAUGUGACCUAUACUGGGACGAAAAUAAAAACUUAAAAUUAAAAAAAUAAAAUUACUCAGAGAUAGGCAAAAUCACAUCAAGGAUGGGAUGCAACCGAUGCUAAGCAGAAAAGACAAUGGGUGCCAGAAAAGUUCAGAGCGGGGGAGUGCACUGUAGGCUGAAGACAUAACUGAGGGCUUCACGGUAGGGCAGAGUUUGGGCAGGAUCUCACAGGAGUAUAAUCCAGACGUGUCUGCAGGAAGCAGUGAAAGGCAAUGGGGAAAGGAGGUAGACAAGGUGAGGAGCCAGGUUUGUGCCACAGGGGUUCUGGUGACAAUGUGUGGUCAGAGAGACUCAACGUGAGGUUAUUGAAGUCGCCCCAAAGUCAUCUGUUGCCAUCAUCUAAGUGUUCUCCCCUACUUCUCAAAUGUUCUCCAUAAUCUAGAACUUCCACUGACCGCAGUCUGAGAUGAGCCUAAGAAAGAAACUUCUGGCCUCUGUUCUGGUGUAAUAUACGCUGUAGCCUGAGUUUCAAAGAAAGCAGAGCCUAGGGCAAUGGUGUAUGUGCUUCUCUUUGAUUAGGGAAUAAAGCCCAGGAAGCAAAUGAGGGAAAAGGGGGUAAGACAAGAAAGAGAGUGCUGAGCUGGCCCCUGCUGGGGAGCAAGUGUCACUGCUUGCUCCAUGUUGUGGACUUUCUCCUAAAAGGAUGCCCUUUUAUGGCUGCAUCCCACAACACUUGGUUGGUAAGAAGCAGGAGGAAGAUUUAUCUGUCAGCUUCUGCCUACCAAUGGCCAAAGGUUCCCUCCAUGGGACCUUAGCUUCCCUACACUCCGGGGCUGUGCACACAUGAGUUCUCAGUUGUCCUGUAGCCUCACACACCUUGGAGUCAAUAGGAGAAAAAGCCAGGAUGGGGGAGCAUGCACUUAGAUCCGUUCAUCCCUGAAGUGGCACUUGUGUCCAGAAGCUUCAUAAGUGAGCUGAGAUCAUCUGAACUGGCACACAGAGGUGCCUGACUCAUAUGACAAGCCUUUUCUCCUCAUUCCAUGAAUUCUAUCGUUUUUUAAUCUUCAGGUGGUUGUCUUAAAAACAGCAGUCCUGAAAGAGUGAACAUUGAAAGACAUUGAACAAAAAGUCCUGAAGAUCAAAACACACCUUCCCCUCCCCUCCCAGGCCUUUCCCUGGGAUAUAUCAGGGCCUUGUUUCAUCUUUGACAAAUGUGGAACAGGACUACGUAGUAGUCUUUACUAAUUAAAUAAGCAACUUUUCUGUGGAAAUAUCAACUGACGUCAAAUAAUAGCCAUGUACCCCACUAAAAAGGAAGGAAGUCCUAGAAUAAUGUCAGAAUGUGUUUUUCCCAUUCCACCUUUUCCUAUCUCCUCUGCUAAGUAAAGAUGUAGGCACUUUGUAAACAGAGACUGAACAUAUAAAGAUAGAUUUAUAGAAUGUUUAGUGGAUGAAUGAAUGAAUGAAUGAAUUAAAAGUCAACUCAGAAACCGACCAAGAAACCCUGACUGAAUAUCCAUAGCACAAACCAGUAAUUCUCCAGCUUCAGCUUGCAUCAGCAUUACUGGAGUGGGUUUGGUAAAACAGAAUCCCCUGAAAGGGUUGUCAGAAAACAGAACCCAGUUGUUCCCAAAUGUCACUGAUGCUGCUAUACCCUCAGACCAUACUUUGAGAACCAGUGCACAAGCCAACCUGAAUCUGUCACUUUUGGUCAAACAACUGCUAACCCAAAGGUCAUGGGAAUAUGUGUAGAUUAUCUAAUUUUUCUGAAUAAUUUAGGUUUAACCUGAAAAAUCUUUUGGUCGAGGAGGAUUUUGGCUUGAGCAUAUUAACUGCU